rnacentral:rRNA from 1 species
AGAAUUGAUCUUGGUCAGGACGAACGCUGGCGGCGUGCCUAACACAUGCAAGUCGAGCGAAGUGAGAUUAGAAGAAAUCUUCGGAUGGAAUCUAAACUUAUCUUAGCGGCGGACGGGUGAGUAACGCGUGAGGAACCUGCCUUUCACAAAGGGAUAGCCUCGGGAAACUGGGAUUAAUACCUUAUGAAACUAUAAUAUCGCAUGGUAAGAUAGUUAAAGCGAAAGCGGUGAAAGAUGGACUCGCGUCCCAUUAGUUAGUUGGUGAGGUAAAGGCUCACCAAGGCAGCGAUGGGUAGCCGGCCUGAGAGGGUGAACGGCCACACUGGAACUGAGAGACGGUCCAGACUCCUACGGGAGGCAGCAGUGGGGAAUAUUGCACAAUGGAAGGGAACUCUGAUGCAGCGACGCCGCGUGAACGAAGAAGGCUUUCGGGUCGUAAAGUUCUGUCCUUGGGGACGAUAAUGACGGUACCCAAGGAGGAAGCCCCGGCUAACUACGUGCCAGCCGCUGC